rnacentral:lncRNA from 1 species
AAGGAAAAGAAAAAUUUAACUGUUGAAAAAGAAGAAAAGACUGAUGAUCUGCCUGGUAAUCUCACAAGUGAAAGCCCCUACCCCCAGCAGAAGGCUGAAUCCCAAAGUACAAGGAGUUGGCCAGAGGAACAUGGAAGGCAAGUUUUAACAGGACAGGAAGCAGAACACACAAAGAUCCAGGGCAAUAAAGAAAAUCAUGUGUUGGAGAAUUUGCAUGCUUUUCUGAAUGGCUGGAGCACCAAUGCAAUGCAAUUUCACCCAGAAGAUAUUUAUAGAGGAUCUUCCACAUGCCAGCACUGUACUUGGCUCUGGGAAACAAAGAAGCAUGCGACAGUCUGGCCAUCCUGUAGAGAAGCUGACCUGCCAGCAUUCCCCGGGCACUAUGUGAGGUACUCUGUUGGAAGCAUGUGCAAACAGCUAGGGUCAAGAGCGACAAAGUCUUCUUAGUACUCAACCUCUGCAAAGUUCAUCUAAAAAAUCCAACACAGGGUUUUCAAACGCAGUGUGCCCUAAGGUUGACAAAUGAAUUCAACAUGCAAGAACCUGAGGGUGGGAGGGGCCCAUUUCAAGAGCCCUGACUAUCUUCCCACCCUAAUCCUGCUGAGUCCUGUGCUCCAGGACUCUUAUAACAUAAUAUUCUCCUUCUGACCCCUUUAUCUUUUCUUUAACCUUAAAAUCUAAUAGAUGGAGUCCUAAGAGUUGGAACAAAAACUAGUGAGUAGUAAUGGCAUUAGGUAUUCACUGCCUCCUUUGCAAUACUCAUAUCAGAUCCCAAGCCUUUUACUGACAUAAUUUACUUUUCUCCCAUUGUGAACCCCACCCUCUACCCAAACGGAAACACUCCCUGUAGUUCUCGGAGGCGUUACCCUUUUACACUUUCCUACCUUUGACAUGCUGCAUCCAUUGCCAUAAUGUUUUCCCUCCCUUUUCUAUGUGUCCAACCAUCAAGUCAGCUCAAAUGUCUCCUCCUAUACCACCUUCAUCUGAAUAAAGGUGCACUUUAUUCUGCACCUAGCUUUCUUUUCUAUUCACCCUACAUUUAUUGAGGCUUAUCCUAUGCUGUGCUUGGUUCUGAGGAUGUAGAAAUAAAUGAAUAUAAUUUGCUCCAAGCCCUCAGGAAACUUGCAGAAACACAUAAAUAUAGAAAUGCAAUACAAAAAGAUAAGAGAUUUAAUAAAGUUCCCAGAAUUCUUUUGUGUCCCAAGACACAAAAGAUACAAUAUCACCUCCUUGGGUGGGUCAGGAAGAGGGACUUAUCACCCCUUCUAAAAUUUAAGGUGUUUGAAGGGUAGGUCAAUGUCUGGUGCGGCAUCUCAAGGUGCACUAACACAAUAAACUGUAAAAUAAAAUAAUCAAUGCAUGCUUGAAUGAAUGACAUAUCAAAUUCACCCUGUGGAUCUCACUUUAUGCACGGGCCACUUUAACAAAUGCUUCCAGAAAACAUGAAGACAUGCUAUUCCAGUCUCACUGAGAAGGGGUAAGACAAGUACAUCACUUAGCUUUUAGUUGUUCCUGAAUUGAAGGUGAAACUAGAAGCCAUUCAAGUGAACAGGUCAUCAUUAACUGUAAAAGCUGCCAAAGAAACUGGAUUCAACUCUUUGGGCAUUCACUGAGCUGCUAGCUCAAAAGUCUCUGAAACCCAAACCAUGAAAACUAAUGAGCAGAGAAUCUAGGAGGUGUUACAGAGCCAGUGUACCGAUAGAACCAGGAUUACCUAACUGUCACAGCACCCAGGAUGUGUUGGAAAAUGAUUUAAAGCUUAAUUCUUAAGGUGGUGGUUUGGUGUCAAAAACUUUGACUGAUGAACUUUAUAAUGUUCCAACCUACACGUCAAGUAAAAAACCUGAAUGCCUCUUCACUCAUGGGCAAAACUUGUCACUGACUAAUAAGUCUCAGAUUUUAUUUUGUUUUAGUGGAAAUAAAAUGGUUAGUAGUAUGACCUUUUCUGGAAGGAUAACACCAGGAUUAUGGAGGAAGAUUUUUCCAAGGAUUAAGACAAUCGGGCUGGGCUGUAGACAGAGCACAGAACACCUACUAAGUGCUGGACACAGUCAUAGGCUUUGGGGAUACAGCCACAGGCAAAAGAGAUAAUCAUCUCUACUAUCUGUUUAAGGUUAUAGAUAAGUAAAUAAGUGAACAAUUUAGUAUAUCUGUUGGUGAUGAUUACUAUAGAGCAAAAUAAAAUAAAAACAGGAUCACAGAUUUUCUUUGUUCAAGGGCAAAGAAAAUUUUCAAUUUUCAAUUGCCUGGUCAGGGAAGGCCCAAGUGAAAAAAAUGCAUAAAUCAGAAUUGGUGAUAUAAGUAAACAAUCGUUUACAGAGCAUAAGCUAUGUACCAAAAUACUAUUAGGCAUUGUCAAGUACUAAAAUCAAAACAAGAUGUUUCGUACACUUAGGAUCCUUAAAGCAUUUAAAAACAAUUUUAAUUGACAUAAAUUACAUAUAUGUGUGAUUUACAACAUCCUUUUUUUUUUUUUUUAUUUUUUGAGAUAGAGUUUCACUCUUUAUGCAAUGGUGUGAUCUUGGCUCACUGCAACUUCUGCCUCCAGGUUCAAGUGAUUCUCCUGCCUCAGCCUCCCGAGUAGCUGGGAUUACAGGCAUGCUCCACCACACCCAGCUGAUUUUGUACUUUUUAGUAGAGAUGAGUUUUCACCAUGUUGGCCAGGCUGGUCUCGAACGCCUGACCUCAGGUGAUCCAUCCGCCUCGGCCUCCCAAAGUGCUGAGAUUAUAGGCAUGAGACACUGCGCCUGGCCAACAUCAUGCUUUCAUGUAUGAAUACACUGUGAAAUUAUUAAAUCCUUAAAGUCUCAUAAGGGAAUAAGAUGCAGAAAAAAAUGGCUAAUACAAGGCAGGUGACAAUAAGUCCUGAUAAAGUGAUUUAAAAUCUUCAGAUCAGACUAGGGACAUCAGGAAGGUCCUCAAGGAGCUUCAGGCAUUUGAAACAGACCUUAAAGAAGGGACAAUGUCUUUGGGAGGCUGAGGCAGGCAGAUCACCUGAAGUCAGGAGUUUAAGGCCAGCCUGGCAAACAUGGUGAAACCCCAUCUCUACUAAACAUACAAAAAUUAGUCGGGCAUGGUGGUGUGUGCCUGUAAUCCUAGCUCCCCAGGAGACUGAGGCAGGAGAAUCGCUGGAACCCAGGAGGUGGAGGCUGCAGUUAGCAAAGAUCACACCACUGCACUCUAGUCUGGGCAAGAGAGAGAGACUGUGUCUCAAAAAAAAAAGAAGGGAUAAUGUUUGCACAAGUCAGAUGGUGGGGAUGGAGAUUUGAAGAGUAGGAUCCUUGAAUAUGAGAACUCUAGUUUAAGCUACUAGGAAAAGGAGUAAUCCAAACAUACAAUCAUUUCUCCCAGGUUCCACUGAAAUCCAGGUCUAAUGUUCUCAUGCAGUGGACCAGUGAGCGAUUAGGGUGGCUGACUAAAUCCAGAGAAGCCUUUGUUUCUCAUUUAUUGAUUCAAUACCUUUGAUUGAGCACUCACCAUCUGGCAGUUACUAUGCUAGGCUCUGAGGAAAAGUCACUUAAGACUCAUGCCUGCCCUUAAGAAUAUCAUAGUUUAGGACCAGGGAGAGAUGAAUGAGUCAGUGAUUGGCAUUCAGUGCCACAGGUGCACAACUGGAGUUAAGCACAGGCCCUGCGGAAAUGCAGAAGAGAGGCAUCCUGAUCAGCAAGGGAGUGUGCGGAAGGCUUUCCAGGUAGCCAGAUCCUUGAACUCAUUUGCAUGUGUGUAAUUAAAUUGUUCUUUUCUUGAUUACAAAAUACAUCUAUACUUGUAGAAACUUGCAAAAUAAAAUAAAUUAUAAAUAUAAAGAUAUAAAAAUCACCUAUAAUCCUAUCAUCUAAAGAGCUUCUAUUAAUUUGAAGAUAUUUCCUUCCAGUGAGCUUUUGCAAUCUCUCUUCCACUCCCCACUUAACAUACAGAGAGUAAUGUACAAAUGGAAAGACAUAUACAUGUGUUUGUGUUUCAUACUCUUGUCAUUUAAUAUUAUAGGUUUUAUCUUAUCAAAAAAUUUUUGACAAUACAAAGCUAAUAGCUAUGUAAUAUUGCACAGUAGUUAUUAAAUCAAUCCCUUACUGCAUAUUUAAUUGCUUCAAAUACAGUAUUUUUUGCUAUUAUAAGUAGUAGCAAUAAACAUAUUUGCAAUAAAUAUAUAUUUCACUAAAACAGAUUCUUAGAGGUGGAAUUAUUAAGUCAAAGAGAACCUAGAUUUUAAGAAGUUGGCUUGAGUUUUGAAGAACAAAUAAAAAUAACAUACUAGGAAAUGGAAGAACAGGGUUGACACAAGAAAUUGUAUGUACGAAGGUCUCUCAUGAAACAGCAUGAUAAGUUUCAGGAAAUUCAAGUCAUUUGGUAAGGCUAGAUCAAAUGGUAUAUGUGUGCUGGGUGAGGGAGUGGCCUAAUAAAGACGAAGCUGGAGAAAUGGGCAGACAAUAAAGCAUGAACAGCCUUGGGAGCUGAAUUAUAGAGAUCUAACUGAUCACAGAGUUAGUUAUGAGGACCUCUGAAAUAUUUUAAGAGGUUCAUGAUCCUGUUUGUGAUUUAGAAAGGUAAUGCUUGCAGCAAUGACAGAUAGCUGCAGCUGGCAGAAAAGAUAUUUUUGAGGGCUACUGCAACGAUCCAGGAGCAAAGAAAAAAUUACCUUAAGCAGGACAGCAGUAAUGCACAAAAAGGAAUACAUAUGUGUUUUCAACAUUUUCAUUCCCAUUAAUUACUUACUGCUGUAUUUCUUAAAUGUCAAUUUCCAGUUUCAAAGUACACCUUUUCAAUUAAUUCCAAAAUCUUCUGAGCAUUUUUUAAAAACUUUUUCCAAACCCCUACAUCCAGGCCUCUCAAAUCAUUUUCUUUCCUAUACCCAAUGUUCAUAGCUGCUAUAAGAACAGGCUUUUGUCAUAUUAAAUCUGUAUGAUAAAAUGGAAAAGCUAGUCAGAGAGUCAAAGUACCUCAGCUCAUGUCUUCGAUCGUUCUUGAGCAAGUCACUAAUGUUCCCUCUUCCUUGGAAGGACACUUUAGCACUAGUUCAACAAUAUAGUCUUUUUUGUUGUUGUUGUAAUCUAUGGAUACCUAUGAUUUUAUACUAGAUUUGUAGGAAAAGAUUAGUUGAAAAACUUUAUUUUUACUAGAAAACACAUUUGCUUGAGAAACUUAAGUCAAUUAAUAAUGAUUCAAUAGAGCAAGGUGACUGAGAUCAUGGCUUAAGGCUGACUGGCUUCAAAUCCUUAUUCCACUACUAACCUAGCAUGAGACUUGGAGCAAUAUUCUGAACCUCAGUUAUCUUAUCCUUUUAGUGGGGAUUUUAAAAAGUACCUCCUUUUUGUGAGGUUGGUCAAUGGGUACAAAUAUACAGUCAGAAGGUGUAAGUUCUAAUGUUCUGUAGUAGAGUAGGGUGACUUGUUAGCAGCAACAUAUUGCAUAUUUCAAAGUAGCCGGAAGAAAGAACUUGAGAUGUUCUCAACACAUAGAAAUGAUAAAGACUCAAGGUGAUGAAUGUCCCAAAUACCCUGACUUGAUCACUACACAUUGUAUGCAUGCAACAAAAUAUCCCAUGCCCCCAUAAAUAUGUAAAAUAUUAUGUAUCGAUGAACAAAGUACCUCUUUUUUUGGUGGGUGUGUGUGUGCACAUGCACUCACACAUGUGUGAAGAUAAUUGAGUUAAUACAUGUGAAGCACUUAGAAAAGUAAAUGAAUGAUACAUAACAUGUGUUCAAUAAAUUAAAUAAUUAUAAUAAUUAUUCAGAAAAGGGAUACAUACAAAGGAUAUUAAGCUGCUUGAAUCUACAAGAUUUGGUGAUUGAUUCCAAAGACAGUAAAGAACCCCUGUAACUUCCCACAUAAGAGGCAGGGGUGGCAUAACAGCUGCAGCAGCAGUCAGUGAAGAGAGAGGCUGAGCCACACACUGGGGUUGAUCACUCCAUGGACAGAAGCAGCUGAGCCCUGAUGGAUAUUUAAAUAAAACUGCAUAUCCUAAGGUCAUUAUAGUAUGCACAGCACACAGGGCUUAUAAAGUCUUAGAUAAAAGGUUUAGUAAUGUAAUUUAAAAUAAUAUUUCUUUUCCUUGGACCCACAUUUACAUUACUCAUGCUGGGAUUUCACCCACUUGGUAUGGCCAUUUCCUAUUUAAGAGUUACUGUUUUCAUUUCCUCAUCUUCUCUUGGCAUUCCUGUCCUUAGAAUCCAACAGCACCCACCACCAGAGGAGGAGAAGCCACUCAUGCUGUAAACUCAGAGUGAACAGCACACACUUGAUCAACAGGCAUGGACCAUAUCCUACUCCAGGUACACUGUCUCCUGAGAUGGGCUGGUCUCCAGAGAAAUAUCCCUCCCUCUAGCUCCAUACCUUUACUAAUCGCUACUAAUGACAGGAAACCUAAGAUGAAUUGCUGCAUGUUCCAAAUUAACUAUGUGCAAAUAGGAUUCAAAACUAAAGAACUAAAGAAUUGACUCACAACUUGUUUUUAUUCUUCUAUUUAUUUUGACAGGUUCUUAUAAUUUUCUUAUAUAGGAAAAUUACGUGUGUGUAUAUAUAUAUGUAGACACAUAAACUUCAUAAAAAUAUAUACUUCAUAAAGAAUACAUAUUUAAAUAGUUGUCUACACAAUGCAACUUCCAUCACUAUAUAUUACAUAGGGAGAUUUCUAGAUUUAACCACCAAAAAAUACAAUCCAAAAAUUGCACUUAGGAAACCCAAAGAGGCCCAGCAAAACUCAAAGGUAUAGAACAUCCAAACACAGGCCUACCUAUAAAAAUAACUACCAUGGCGAAGCAUAAAAAUGAGAAAAUGUUUGCACCAAAGUCAAGAUUCUUUAUGAUUGUCUCAACACCAUUCUAUAGGGAGCAAACCCUAAUGAGAUAUCCCUAACAAAGCCACUCCCUAAUAGUUGAUUAAUUACUCAUAAAAGUUUAUUAAAGGAUUAAUGCAUACCUUAAACAUGUAACUUUAACAUAAAAUACAUAACUAUAAGCUCAUUCACCAAUCGCUUCAGAAAGGUCAAGCCCUCUUACCCAGCCACUCCUCCUCCCCUCAGGAAUUUCUGUGGGUUAGAAUUUUAGUGUUCUAUUUUUUGACACAGGGUCUGACUCUAUAAGCCAGGCUGGAGUGCAGUGGUGCAAUUACAGCUCACCUUGACUUCCCAGGCUCAGCUGAUUCUCCCAUCAGUCAGCCUCCUGAGGAGCUGGGAAUACAGGCUUGUGCCACCAGGCCCAGCUAAUUUUUUUGUUGUUUUUAGUAAAGGUGGGGUUUUGCCAUGUUGCCCAAGUUUACCUUUUUUUUUUAAAAAAAAAAAGAUUGACUUUUUAGAAUCAGGGGUUACAUGUACAGGUUUGUUACAAAUGUAUAUGGUGUGAUUCUGAGUUUGGAGUACAAGUGACCCCGUCACUCAGGUGCUAUGCAUAGUAAGCAACAGGUAGCUUUUCAACCCUUGCCCUCCUCUCUCUCUCUCCACUCUAGUAUUCCCAGUGUCUAUUGUUGCCAUCUUUACGCCCAUGUAUGCCCAAUGCUACCACUUACAAGUGGGAACAUUCCGUAUUUGGUUUUUUACUCCUGUGUUAUCUCACUUAGGACAACGGCCUCCAGCUGCAUCUAUGUUUCUGCAAAGGACAUGAUUUCAUUCUUUUUUAUAACUGUGUAGUUUUCCAAGGUGUGUAUGCACAUUUCCUUUAUUCAAUCCACCGCUGAUGUGCAUCUAGGUUGAUUCCAUGUCUUGCUGUUGUGAAUCGUGCUGCAAUAAACAUCUGAGUGCUUGUUUCUUUUUGAUAGAUCAGUUUAUUUUUCCUUGGGUAUAUAUCCAGUAAUGAUCUGCUCUGUCUUGCAUGAAACAGCAGAUAGAGUUAAUUGUCUGUGAUUUCCAUUUAGGCAUUCUCUAAAAAUAAAGCAAUAACUUAGGAAUACUUAAAAAACAACCUUCUAGAUGUUAUAUCUUGGCAGAAACUUUCUGGAAACUAGUUUUUUCCUGGCAUUUAACUUGGUUUCCCAGAAGCAACCUUUACACAGGCACAUUUCAUUAAUUUACAUAAUAUUUAAUUAAAAUAUAUAAGUACAACUGGUAUCAGCAAGUUUGAAAACAACAAAAAUUGAUUCUUGUAAACACCUAGCAACUGCUAGGUGCAAAAGUAUGUGGGCCCACUAAAAAAUAAGCUACAGCUGCAAGCAAUCAGUGAGUCAC